UUCCCCUAGUAACUGCGAGUGAAGCGGGAAAAGCUCAAAUUUAAAAUCUGGUAGUCUUUGGCUGCCCGAGUUGUAAUCUAGAGAAGCGUUAUCCGCGCUGGACCGUGUAUAAGUCUCCUGGAAUGGAGCGUCAUAGAGGGUGAGAAUCCCGUCUUUGACACGGACUACCAGGGCUUUGUGAUGCGCUCUCAAAGAGUCGAGUUGUUUGGGAAUGCAGCUCUAAAUGGGUGGUAAAUUCCAUCUAAAGCUAAAUAUUGGCGAGAGACCGAUAGCGAACAAGUACCGUGAGGGAAAGAUGAAAAGAACUUUGGAAAGAGAGUUAAACAGUACGUGAAAUUGUUGAAAGGGAAACGCUUGAAGUCAGUCGCGUUGUCCAGGGAUCAACCUUGCUUUUGCUUGGUGUACUUCCUGGUUAACGGGUCAGCAUCAAUUUUGACCAGUGGAAAAAGAUUAGAGGAAUGUGGCAUCUUCGGAUGUGUUAUAGCCUCUGGUUGUAUACACUGGUUGGGAUUGAGGAACUCAGCACGCCGCAAGGCCGGGUUUUUAACCACGUUCGUGCUUAGGAUGCUGGCAUAAUGGCUUUAAUCGACCCGUCUUGAAACACGGACCAAGGAGUCUAACAUGCCUGCGAGUGUUUGGGUGGAAAACCCAAGCGCGCAAUGAAAGUGAAAGUUGGGAUCCCUGUCGUGGGGAGCACCGACGCCCGGACCAGACCUUCUGUGACGGAUCCGCGGUAGAG
rnacentral:rRNA from 1 species